rnacentral:rRNA from 1 species
UACGAAGGGGGCUAGCGUUGCUCGGAAUCACUGGGCGUAAAGCGCACGUAGGCGGAUUGUUAAGUCAGGGGUGAAAUCCUGGAGCUCAACUCCAGAACUGCCUUUGAUACUGGCGAUCUUGAGUCCGGGAGAGGUGAGUGGAACUGCGAGUGUAGAGGUGAAAUUCGUAGAUAUUCGCAAGAACACCAGUGGCGAAGGCGGACUCACUGGCCCGGUACUGGACGCUGAGACGCGAAAGCGUGG